rnacentral:rRNA from 1 species
UUGGAGGGCAAGUCUGGUGCCAGCAGCCGCGGUAAUUCCAGCUCCAAUAGCGUAUAUUAAAGUUGUUGCAGUUAAAAAGCUCGUAGUUGAAUUUCGGGGUUCUACCGUUGGUCGGGCAAUAGUCUGUACUGGCGUGUAGAAUUUCUACCUUCUGGGGAACCAUCAUGUUAUUUAUUUAGCGUGGUGGGAAACCAGGACCUUUACCUUGAAAAAAUUAGAGUGUUCAAAGCAGGCUUACGUCUGAAUACAUUAGCAUGGAAUAAUAAAAUAGGACGGUGGUCCUGUUUUGUUGGUUUCUGAAUCACCGUAAUGAUUAAUAGGGAUAGUUGGGGGCAUUAGUAUUCAAUUGUCAGAGGUGAAAUUCUUGGAUUUAUUGAAGACUAACUUCUGCGAAAGCAUUUGCCAAGGAUGUUUUCAUUAAUCAAGAACGAAAGUUAGGGGAUCGAAGACGAUCAGAUACCGUCGUAGUCUUAACCAUAAACUAUGCCGACUAGGGAUCGGACGAUGUUAAUUUUUACUUUGUACUCGUUCGGUCGGCCUUACCGGGUAAACG